rnacentral:rRNA from 1 species
AUUGCACUCUGUAUGCAGGCCUAACACAUGCAAGUCGAACGAGUGGCGGACGGGUGAGUAAUGUCUUGGCAACUGCCCGAUGGAGGGGGAUCACUACGCGAAAGCGUAGCUACUCCCGCAUACUAUUGGAGCGGCCGAUAUCGGAUUAGCUAGUUGGUGGGGUAACGGCUCACCCAGGCGACGAUCCGUAGCUGGUUUGAGAGGAUGACCAGCCAAACUGGAACUGAGACACGGGCCAGACUCCUACGGGAGGCAGCAGUGGGGAAUAUGGCACAAGGGGCGCAAGCCUGAUGCAGCGAUGCCGAGUGUAUGAAGAAGGCCUUCGGGUUGGAAAGUAAUUUCAGCGAGGAGGCGUUACUCGCAGAAGAAGCACCGGCUAACUCCGGGCCAGCAGCCGCGGUAAUAC